GCAGCCUGGUGAGCGAUCGCUGGCAUCUUUUGGUGCGAGAGGAAAGUCCGGGCAGUAUAGAGCAAGACAGUUGCUAACGGCAACCGAGGGAAACCUUAGGGAAAGUGCCACAGAAACAAAACCGCCUCAUUUGAGGUAAGGAUGAAACGAGUAGUGUAAGAGACUACAGCGACGUACGGUGACGUAUGGAGGAGGUAAACCCUGUCUACUGCAAGGAGGAUUUCAUUAAAAGGUUGCUCGCCUGAGGUCCGAUAACCGCUUGAGCUGCGUGGUAACACGUAGACUAGAUAGAUGAUCGUUCUCGACAGAACCCGGCUUACAGCUGGGCUGCGCAU
rnacentral:RNase_P_RNA from 1 species